rnacentral:rRNA from 1 species
UACGUAGGGUGCAAGCGUUAAUCGGAAUCAUUGGGCGUAAAGCGCACGUAGGUGGCUUGUUAAGUCGGGUGUGAAAUCCCUGGGCUCAACCCAGGAAGUGCACUCGAAACUGGCGAGCUUGAGUACUGAAGAGGGUCGCGGAAUUCCCGGUGUAGAGGUGAAAUUCGUAGAUAUCGGGAGGAACACCAGUGGCGAAGGCGGCGACCUGGGCAGAUACUGACACUGAGGUGCGAAAGCGUGGGGAGCAAACAGG